UUUCCGUAGGUGAACCUGCGGAAGGAUCAUUAUUGUAUAACCGAGGUGCGAGGGCUGUCGCUGACCCGAAAGGUCGUGCACGCCCGAGUGCCCUCACACACAUCCAUCUCACCCCUAUUUGCACCACCGCGUGGGUCCCCCUUUGGCUUGUUCGGAGGGGGGCUUACGUUUUCACACAAACUUUGGAUGCAGUGUAGAAUGUAUUUUUUGUUUUUGCGAUCACGCAAUCAAUACAACUUUCAACAACGGAUCUCUUGGCUCUC
rnacentral:misc_RNA from 1 species